rnacentral:rRNA from 1 species
GACGAACGCUGGCGGCGUGCUUAACACAUGCAAGUCGAGCGGUAAGGCCCUUUCGGGGGUACGCGAGCGGCGAACGGGUGAGUAACACGUGGGUGACCUGCCCUCAGCUCUGGGAUAAGCCUGGGAAACCGGGUCUAAUACUGGAUAUGACUCCAUGACGCAUGUUGUGGGGUGGAAAGCCUUGUGCGGCUGAGGAUGGGCCCGCGGCCUAUCAGCUUGUUGGUGGGGUGAGGCCUACCAAGGCGACGACGGGUAGCCGGCCUGAGAGGGCGACCGGCCACACUGGGACUGAGACACGGCCCAGACUCCUACGGGAGGCAGCAGUGGGGAAUAUUGGACAAUGGGCGCAAGCCUGAUCCAGCGAUGCCGCGUGUGUGAAGAAGGCCUGCGGGUUGUAAAGCACUUUCAGUAGGGAAGAAAAGCCGAGUGCUAAUAUCACUCGGUCUU